GCGGCGGGGAGCGCGGCUCAGCCGGGCAGCCCGGGUCCGGCAGCUCUGUCCCGGACCGCAGCUCAGGAUCUCCGGGGCCCUUGGGGCGCAACGGACCCCGAGCGGGGCGCACCGGCCUUCAGGCGGGGGAUCCCGGACGCCCCCACCCCAGCCCGACAGGCGGACGCAGGCGACAGAAGACCAUGUCCAACCGCCUGGGCCACUCCCCGAAAUCUCGCCUCUGUCAAAAAACAAAACCCACUCCAAACCAAAGUUCCUUAGGGCCUUUCCCGUCUUUGCCUGCCUUCCUUCCUUAGGAGGAAGACCAUCUAGGGGGUGAGGAGGGAAAACGAGAGGCCUUCUGGCACUCUCGCCUCAAAUACAACCCGGUGUUUGGCAGCUACGAAUCAGUGGUUUCUGCCAGCUGUUAGAGGAGAUAUCCCUCCAGGCUGUGCUGCCCAUGGAUUUGUCUGUGAUGGUACCAGAAUAUUAGUAUUUGGGGGAAUGGUUGAAUAUGGAAGAUACAGCAAUGAGUUAUAUGAGUUACAAGCAAGUCGUUGGUUAUGGAAAAAAGUGAAACCCCAUCCCCCUCCUUCUGGUUUACCUCCUUGUCCUCGGCUUGGACAUAGCUUCUCUUUAUAUGGUAACAAAUGCUAUUUGUUUGGUGGCCUGGCAAACGAAAGCGAAGAUUCAAACAAUAAUGUUCCCAGAUAUUUAAAUGAUUUUUAUGAGUUGGAGCUACAGCAUGGCUCUGGUGUUGUGGGUUGGAGCAUUCCAGUGACUAAAGGGGUUGUGCCUUCUCCAAGAGAAUCCCACACAGCUGUUAUAUAUUGCAAAAAAGAUUCUGGAAGUCCUAAAAUGUAUGUUUUUGGUGGAAUGUGUGGUGCUCGCCUGGAUGACCUAUGGCAGCUUGACUUAGAAACUAUGUCAUGGUCAAAACCAGAAACUAAAGGGACAGUGCCACUUCCACGAAGCCUUCAUACAGCCAGUGUUAUAGGAAACAAGAUGUACAUUUUUGGUGGAUGGGUCCCACAUAAGGGGGAAAAUACUGAGACUUCACCUCAUGAUUGUGAAUGGAGAUGUACCAGUUCAUUUUCUUACCUAAAUCUGGAUACAACAGAGUGGACCACCCUAGUAUCAGAUUCUCAGGAAGAUAAAAAAAAUUCAAGACCAAGACCAAGAGCUGGCCACUGUGCUGUUGCAAUCGGCACUCGAUUGUAUUUUUGGAGUGGAAGAGAUGGCUACAAAAAAGCACUGAAUAGUCAAGUUUGCUGCAAGGAUCUUUGGUAUCUUGAUACUGAGAAACCACCGGCACCAUCUCAAGUACAGCUGAUCAAAGCCACUACCAACUCCUUUCAUGUCAAGUGGGAUGAAGUGUCUACAGUUGAGGGCUAUCUUUUGCAGUUGAGUACAGACUUGCCAUACCAAGCUGCAUCAUCAGAUUCUUCAGCAGCACCAAAUAUGCAAGGAGUCAGGAUGGACCCUCACAGACAAGGCAGUAAUAACAUCGUUCCUAACAGUAUCAAUGAUACAAUAAACAGCACAAAAACUGAACAGCCAGCCAC
rnacentral:lncRNA from 1 species